rnacentral:lncRNA from 1 species
GGAGCAGGUAGCCAUUUCUUUAUCUUGUACAAUAAACCUUUGUGCCAGACUCGAUCGAACGCUUGUUGAAAAUCGAGAAAUGCAGCAGUGCAGUAUUUUUUGUUUUAAAAUGCCGAAACUAUAUCAUUAAUAACCUUGUGACAAUGCUCAGGGGUCCCGUGACCCCUCCUGAAUCCGAAUUGGUAUUCAGGAAUGAUGGAAAGUUCGUCCAAAAUUGGCAACAUUCUCUUCAAUAGUAUUUUUUCAAACACUUUCGAGAAUAUUGUCAACUGACUAAUGGGACGGUAUGAUGUCAAUUCCGUUUCUAUUUUGUUUGGCUUUAGGAUCAUAACGAUCUCAGCACAUUUCCAUUGACUUGGAAAGUGGUCUAGUCUGAAAAUCGCGUUAAAUAUAAGAGUGAGAAACCCAAUGCAUUUUGGUGGUAAACUUUUUAGGGUGAUACCGUCUAUUUUAUCAGGGCCUGGUGCUUUUCUAUUGUUCAAGCAUUUGAUUUCUGUCACAACUUCUUCAUAUUUGAUGCUUUUAAUAGGCAAGCUCAUUUUGCAGGGUGAAUCAAGGAAUUUUUCUACUUCAGUCUCUGUUAUAUAAUUAUUUAUAUCGUUUGGCUGAAACACAGAGUGCAGAUGUUGUGCAAAUGCUUCCGCUUUUUCAUUAUUAGACCUACACCAAGUUCCGUUGCUUUUGCGAAUAUUAAUGUUUCUUUUAGCUGGUUUCUUUAGGUAUUUAGUCGCCCUCCAUAGGUUUUAUUCAUUGUUUUUGGAAUUAGGGUCUAGUUAGUUUCUCAGAUACGCAGCCAGAGAUUCAUUGCGUAAGUUCGACAGCAGUUGUCUAAGCUCAGAUGCAGCCUUGUUGUACAAUCUUUUGUCAGCAAGGUAGUGAGUUUCCUGCCAGCGUUCUCGCAGAUUCCUUUUAUUUUGUAUUUUUUGCCGAAGUUCGGUUGAAAGGUACAAUUGGUUUGGUUGUUGAUGAUUAAGAGCAUGAUUCGUGUUUCUGUAGCUCGCAUUAUGAAUUGUAUUUGUGAAAAGCUCUACAGCAUAGGAUAUCUCCUCUCCUGUUUUUAAUGAAAUGUCCAGGCUUAUAGCCGAGUCUAAAUAGCUUUUAAAUUCGUUAAUGUAUGUAGAGGCUGUUAUUACUUUAUAGGGCUUUUCCAAUAUAUGGGCUAUUGCGCUGUAAGUUGCUAUUAUUGGAGAAUGAUCUGAGUUAAGGUCAAAGCUCUCCAUUACUCGCAUGUGUGAUUGUGGGAUUCCAGAGAGUACUACGAAAUCAAUCAAAUCUGAAAUUUUUCGACUAUCAGUAGGCCAAUAUGUGGGCACACCAGAUUACAAAGUCGUUAUGUUAUUGUUUCGUAUGCAUUUGUAUAACUCCGAUCCCUUCGGGUUAGUUAAUCUGGAUCCCCACCAUGGAUGUUUGGCAUUGAAGUCGCCUCCCACGAUAAACUUUGUUCCCAGUCCUUGGAAAAAGUUUUGAAAAUCGAGUUCUUUUAUUGUGAAUCUUGGUGGGAGAUAAAUCGCUGUUAUUGAUACAUCUGAGUGCAUACAUUUUUUCUGAAUUGUGGCAGCCUGCAUAGCGUUUUCCUUAAUACUGUCCAUGAUUUUAAAUUUAAGGCCCUGCUUGACAAUAAUUGCAGCAC